GAUGAACGCUGGCGGCGUGCCUAAUACAUGCAAGUCGAGCGAACAGAUGAGAAGCUUGCUUCUCUGAUGUUAGCGGCGGACGGGUGAGUAACACGUGGGUAACCUACCUAUAAGACUGGGAUAACUCCGGGAAACCGGGGCUAAUACCGGAUAAUAUUUUGAACCGCAUGGUUCAAUAGUGAAAGACGGUUUCGGCUGUCACUUAUAGAUGGACCCGCGCCGUAUUAGCUAGUUGGUAAGGUAACGGCUUACCAAGGCGACGAUACGUAGCCGACCUGAGAGGGGGAUCGGCCACACUGGAACUGAGACACGUUCCAGACUCCUACGGGAGGCAGAAGUAGGGAAUCUUCCGCAAUGGGCGAAAGCCUGACGGAGCAACGCCGCGUGAGUGAUGAAGGUCUUCGGAUCGUAAAACUCUGUUGUUAGGGAAGAACAAAUUUGUUAGUAACUGAACAAGUCUUGACGGUACCUAACCAGAAAGCCACGGCUAACUACGUGCCAGCCGCCGCCGUAA
rnacentral:rRNA from 1 species